UCCCACCUGGUCUCCUCUCUUCCCGCCUCCUCCCACGAAACCCUAGCCGCCGCGCCGUGCAGCCGCCGCGCCAUGCAGCCGCCGCCGCUACCGCGCCCUUCUCCUCCUUCCACCUCCUGGCCGGAGCCCAACCACCGCUCUCUCUCCCUCCCCCUACCACCGGCCUCUCCCUAGGUGGCGGCCAGAUCUGCCACGGCCACAGCCACGACGGAGGCUUCUGGAUCCGCGCUGCCGUCGAGCUGGGCACGACCAUCAACCUCGGACCACACUGCCGCCACCAUGGAUGCACCAUAUCAAGGUCGCAAUGGCUGACAAAGAGCUUCAGGUUCAUGGUUCACCAGGUUCUGCUGGCUCCACUAACAGUUGCCUGCAAGCACUUGCACAGGUCAGCUGAGAUACGUCUUGCAGACCUACGAGUUGAUUCUUCUAGGAUCUAAUUUUCUAAACGAACUUUCAGUUGCAAUGCACAAAUAUGUUGCUAGAUGAGGUUUAGAACUUAGUUGGCAGAAGCUAUUUUAAGAUUAGUAUAUUGUAGUAUUUCUCUGAGGGAAUUCUGUGAAUAUUUGGUCAUUGCCAACAAAUCUAAAAUAGAAUGGAAGUGAUUGUUUGGAAUGGAUAAUACUCUGCUGCUCAUGUCUGUUACUUUUAAUGCAUACAAUAUUUUGCUUACAUGUUUGCUAAUAAACUUCUAUGAGGACCCCUGCUGGAGACAUAUGGAGUUGAGGAAGAAUGCAAGUGAAUGGAGCUUGUUGAGUUGUUGUUCGCCUGAUCAUACGUGAUAUGUCAAGUGUGAACUACCCAUUCUCCGCCUCUCCUACAGUCUGUAACAUAAGCGUUAGGCCUGAGCGUGUGAGUCUGUGAGAGUAGAUGGUAGGUCAUUGGAUAUAAAAGGGGCCUUUAGUAGUCCAUUUAUCUUUCCAGAAUGAAGUUGGAAGAGCAGGAGCUCCUCUGCUCCACCCUUCGGAUCCCUUCCUCUGUAGUAUUUAGUUUCUUUGUUGUAUGUUGUAUUUAGUUAGUACUUUUCAGAUGGCUUAACUCCCUUUCUCUGUAGUACCUGGAGCCCAUAAGUGGAGGUGUUUGUUCCUCAUAUGCAACCUUAUUAUCUGAUAGAUAGAUUGUGAAACACAGCAGGAGUUUGAGUUUAUUUUCAUUCACCAGAACACAACAAUAGUAGUAGACUCCCGUAAAAACCAGCAGUCGAACUGAACUAGAAUACUGUGUGUAUUUUAGCUUAAGUAAUCUAGGAUUCACUCCUGGAUGUUAGAGCAACAUAUUUCAAAAUGUAAUUAAUUAAUGUUGCUUCCCACGAAGUAUAUUUCUUUUGUUUCAAUAAGCAUUAUGCACAACUUGAUGCUUUGUGCGACGUCGAGUUCAUCUUAUUAUGUGAAUAUAGUGGUUGGCAUGCUCAAUUUGUCCUCAUUGGCAUCUGAACCUGAGGCUCCCGACUUACUCAAAUGUUCUCCAGUCAUUCCCACCUCUCCUACAAAUGUGAUGAAUUUGGCAUGGGUAUGCGUAUAGUUGGAAUGAGGCACCAUGGGAAGGAUUCAAAUCUCUGAGAAGUGUGCUAAAUCAAUAGUGCCAAGCCAAUCGGUUCAGUUUCAACUUCAAAAACAUUAGGUGAUUGAAAAUGGCAUGCAAUAUUUCUGCAACAAGGCUCCCUAAAUAUUCCCUAUGUUCUAAACUGGAUUCUGACAAGGGUGUACACCCUGCUAUUUGGUCAGAAGUUUGGGAGUUCAUAUUUGGUUGUUUGAUCUCGAGAACACCUUUGAUGACCACGAGCAAAUUGGGCGAACCAGAAGGUACUUCUAGGACACGGACAAUUUCCCUCAAGGUCAAGACCUCACAUCAACGCUUCCAAGCCCCUGAUGAGCCUUUUCCUUUUUUUUAAGUUUCUUAAUGUCACUUCUAUAGGUUUACUUGAGAUGUUAUGUUGCAUAUGUUGUGCUGAGGUUUUCCCACUUCCCUUUUAACUUCUCUGAAGUUGAUCAUCACAUGUUUAUGCAAUUGGACCAAAGCGACGACAUUACUUACAGCUAACCCGGUUAACAUAACAGUUAUGAACUAGGAUGAACUUAUACAUGUAGAGAGAGAGGUUGUUUAAAGAAUCCAGUACCUUUGUGUUUGCCUACAGAAUUCAAUAUUUGUUCAUGCGGUCAUCCUCGGCCUCUCUCUCUCUCUAUCUCUCUCUCUUUCUAUGUGUGUGUGUGUCCUGACUCUUUGUGCCUGUGUUGACCAUUUGUUUGUCCAUGCGAUUUUACUGUGGACUACUCUUUCUAAUUUGGCUUGUAGAUAGGGUCACUUUUAGAUAUUCUAUAGGGUGAUUACUGUUGUUGCAGCGCUGGAUGGCAUGUAGUAGUGCUGGAUCCGGUGGCUAACCGUCGCCGUUGCCUGUCCUCUUUGAGGCGAGAUCCACGCUGCUCCACUCGGUCCAGGUUGCCGGCAUCAUGAAGCUUGAUAAGGUUUCCGGCCGGUUUGCCACAUAACUUGCAGUCUAGGUCGUGGACAUAUUCGGGUUCUAGGUCACAGAAACAAAAUUUGGAGUUAUUUUAUCUGGCUCAAAAUGUUUGGCUCAACAAUUUGCUGCAUUAGAUAUCUUUUUGUGCUUAUUUUUUGUGAAUUCUACAACUUGUAGCAUUGAGCUAAACUGACAUUUGUUUUAGUUAACUUCCAUUCCUGGAUGUUUUUAAACUGAUAUUAUUUCCAUAAGUUCAGGUUUGUACUUGGCUUUAUCAGAAUUAGAAUAUGCAGAACAUGUGUUGGAGAAGUGCCCAUUUGGUUUUAUGAAAUAAUAUUCAUGUUGAUUGCAUUUUGUUAUAGGAAUGCUCAAAGAAUCUAAUGUUUGAUCAUGUUGUUGACAGGCUCUGUUAUGAUAAUUCUUUGAUAAGGUGGUCACAUUCCACAUGAAGAAGAACCCGUAGUACCAUGUUUUACCAUCGUAUCACCACUCUGUUUGGCUUUUGCUUUCUUUUUAUUUUCC